AUUGAACGCUGGCGGCAGGCUUAACACAUGCAAGUCGAGCGGAGUGAUGGUGCUUGCACUAUCACUUAGCGGCGGACGGGUGAGUAAUGCUUAGGAAUCUGCCUAUUAGUGUGGGACAACAUCUCGAAAGGGAUGCUAAUACCGCAUACGUACGACGGGAGAAAGCAGGGGAUCACUUGUGACCUUGCGCAAAUAGAUGAGCCUAAGUCGGAUUGGCUAGUUGGUGGGGUAAAGGCCUAGCAAGGCGACGAUCUGUGGCGGGUCUGAGAGGAUGAUCCGCCACACUGGGACUGAGACACGGCCCAGACUCCUACGGGAGGCAGCAGUGGGGAAUAUUGGACAAUGGGGGGAACCCUGAUCCAGCCAUGCCGCGUGUGUGAAGAAGGCCUUAUGGUUGUAAAGCACUUUAAGCGAGGAGGAGGCUCUUCUGGUUAAUACCCAGGAUGAGUGGACGUUACUCGCAGAAUAAGCACCGGCUAACUCUGUGCCAGCAGCCGCCGUAACAC
rnacentral:rRNA from 1 species